GGACAGACGGGGACAUUCGUAUUGCGGCGCUAGAGGUGAAAUUCUUGGACCGUCGCAAGACGAACUAAGGCGAAAGCAUUUGUCAAGAAUGUUUUCAUUAAUCAAGAACGAAAGUUAGAGGUUCGAAGGCGAUCAGAUACCGCCCUAGUUCUAACCAUAAACGAUGCCAGCCAGCGAUUAGCCUGAGUUCCUUAAAUGACUCGGCUAGCAGCUUCCGGGAAACCAAAGCUUUUCGGUUCCGGGGGAAGUAUGGUUGCAAAGCUGAAACUUAAAGGAAUUGACGGAAGGGCACCACCAGGAGUGGAGCCUGCGGCUUAAUUUGACUCAACACGGGAAAACUUACCUGGUCAGGACACUGGAAGGAUUGACAGAUUGAGAGCUCUUUCUUGAUUCAAUGGGUGGUGGUGCAUGGCCGUUCUUAGUUGGUGGAGCGAUUUGUCUGGUUAAUUCCGAUAACGAACGAGACUCUAGCCUACUAAAUAGACUGCUCAACUUUAUAGCUGUAUCACCUUGCAGUUGCUUCGGUGGCUGUAAGGCUAUGGUGACGUUGGCAGUGCUUCUUAGAGGGACAGGCGGCGGUUCAGCCGCACGAAACAGAGCAAUAACAGGUCUGUGAUGCCCUUAGAUGUCCAGGGCCGCACGCGCGCUACACUGAAGUGAUCAGCGUGCAAUUAACGUUUCCUACUCCGUCAGGAGUGGGUAACCCGUUGAACCUUCUUCGUGAUUGGGAUAGGGGAUUGUAAUUAUUCCCCUUGAACGAGGAAUUCCCAGUAAGCGCAAGUCAUAAGCUUGCGUUGAUUACGUCCCUGCCCUUUGUACACACCGCCCGUCGCUACUAC
rnacentral:rRNA from 1 species